rnacentral:rRNA from 1 species
UCUGGCGAAGACGGUACACGCCGCGUGAGGGAGGAGGUCUUUGGAUUGUAAACCUCUUUUCUCAAGGAAGAAGUUCUGACGGUACUUGAGGAAUCAGCCUCGGCUAACUCCGUGCCAGCAGCCGCGGUAAUACGGGGGAGGCAAGCGUUAUCCGGAAUUAUUGGGCGUAAAGCGUCCGCAGGUGGUCAGCCAAGUCUGCCGUCAAAUCAGGUUGCUUAACGACCUAAAGGCGGUGGAAACUGGCAGACUAGAGAGCAGUAGGGGUAGCAGGAAUUCCCAGUGUAGCGGUGAAAUGCGUAGAGAUUGGGAAGAACAUCGGUGGCGAAAGCGUGCUACUGGGCUGUAUCUGACACUCAGGGACGAAAGCUAGGGGAGCGAAAGGGAUUAGAUACCCCUGUAGUCA